rnacentral:rRNA from 1 species
AACGAACGCUGGCGGCAGGCCUUAUACAUGCAAGUCGAGCGCCCUCUUCGGAGGGAGCGGCGGACGGGUGAGUAACGCGUGGGAAUAUGCCUUUGGUACGGAACAGCCCAGGGAAACUUGGAUUAAUACCGUAUGUGCCCUUCGGGGAAAGAUUUAUCGCCAAGAGAUUGGCCCGCGUCUGAUUAGGUAGUUGGUGGGGUAAUGGCCUACCAAGCCGACGAUCAGUAGCUGGUUUGAGAGGAUGAUCAGCCACACUGGGACUGAGACACGGCCCAGACUCCUACGGGAGGCAGCAGUAGGGAAUCUUGGACAAUGGGCGCAAGCCUGAUCCAGCCAUGCCGCGUGAGCGAUGAAGGCCUAGGGUCGUAAAGCUCUUUCGCCUGUGAAGAUAAUGACAGUACCAGGUAAAGAAACCCGGCUAACUCCGUGCCAGCAGCCGCGGUAA